CGCCGUUGCCGGCGACCGGCGCACGGGUGAGUAACACGUAUGCAACCUGCCCGUGGCAGGGGGAUAAGCGGGGGAAACCCCGUCUAAUACCGCGUAACGCGGCCUUGGGGCAUCCCAAGGCCGCCAAAGGGAGCAAUCCCGGCCACGGAUGGGCAUGCGGCGCAUUAGCUAGUCGGCGGGGUAACGGCCCACCGAGGCGACGAUGCGUAGGGGUUCUGAGAGGAAGGCCCCCCACACUGGUACUGAGACACGGACCAGACUCCUACGGAAGGCAGCAG
rnacentral:rRNA from 1 species